UACGAAGGGGGCUAGCGUUGUUCGGAAUUACUGGGCGUAAAGCGUAUGCAGGCGGAUCGUUAAGUCAGGGGUGAAAUCCCGAGGCUCAACCUCGGAACUGCCUUCGAUACUGGCGACCUUCGAGUCCGGGAGAGGUGAGUGGAACUCCGAGUGUAGAGGUGAAAUUCGUAGAUAUUCGGAAGAACACCAGUGGCGAAGGCGGCUCACUGGCCCGGUACUGACGCUGAGAUACGAAAGCGUGGGGAGCAAACAGG
rnacentral:rRNA from 1 species